UCCGGCUUAGCUCAGUGGUAGAGCAAUCGGCUGUUAACCGAUUGGUCGCUAGUUCGAAUCUAGCAGCCGGAG
rnacentral:tRNA from 1 species